rnacentral:rRNA from 1 species
UAGGGCUUCACACGUCAUACAAUGGUCGGUACAGAGGGUUGCCAAGCCGCGAGGUGGAGCCCAAUACCCUUAAAGCCGAUCGUAGUCCGGAUCGUAGUCUGCAACUCGACUACGUGAAGUCGGAAUCGCUAGUAAUCGCAGAUCAGCAUGCUGCGGUGAAUACGUUCCCGGGUCUU